rnacentral:rRNA from 1 species
CUGACACUUUCUGCAGCGGGCAAAGUCUUUUCGCAAGUGUCGGAGUUGGUGGUCUAGCAAGAGGCACAUGGAUUUUGUGUGGUCCGUGGCCUGUCACUGUUUCCUGCGUCCCAUACUUCGCUCACGGGUCGACACUUCUGAGAUUUUUGCAUUCGUGACUUGAGACGAGGUGGACCACCAACCCCUUUGAUUUUUUUACUUAACCAUAAGGACUUGUCAAUGUACUCGAUCCUCUUCACCGCCGCUCGCCAUAUCCAGCCAUGAGGACCCCUGUUUUUCUCCUUCCUCCUCCGUGACACCACAGUUGUUUUGCACUUCUGCCCUCGCGUCACGCCCCCUUCACUCCCCCAAUCUGGAGCACCAGAAGCAAGGCCCGGCUGGGUCUCCUACUCACAUCACUCCUCGCCACGGCGUCGCCCAACCUGCUCGUCUCCUUCCCUCUGGUCGCCCGAGCCGAGGUCGACGGCGAGCUGCAGGACGUCCACGAGCCCAUGGAGCAGGCGCUCGAGGGAGUAGUUCCCCUGCUCCCAUUCCUCUUCCUCGCCUCGUUGCCAUGGUCACUGGCCGCCACGCGCUCCAGAUUUGUUGUCAUGAAGCUACAUCGAGGCCGUCAACAUGCGUGAUGUGAACGACGACCCACCCCCGCUGUUUCCCCUCUCAUCAGGUGUGAUGCUUGCGCGUGAGUAAUGCUUGUGCCUUUGUGCUGAUUUUUAAUCACCUGGGAGUUGACUAGUUAGUUCGCGGUGAUGGACAUAUUGAUCGAGCUCAUUUUGUGGUCAUGGCCGAAGCACUUUUUUUACACAAGUAGUCUGAUCAUGGCUGAAGCACUUCUUUUUUGCACAAACAGUUUGAUAACGGCUGAAGCACUUAAGUGAGACAUUGAAGAAAAUGUUAUCUGAAUCAACGCAUGUUGACUUUGUCCUCUAUGACCAUAUUAUUAUCUGAAUGAAGGCAUACACAUUUAGUUUCUCUGAAAUAUUACAAGUUACGGAGGGAGUACAACUUAUCUAAACAUGAUGUUCAUUUCAUGCUUUAUAAACCAUUGGUAUUAAAUUUAAUCAACAACAUUUCGACUUUUCGGGUAAUAGUUUCAGUCUUGGAUUCAGAAAUUUAACUGUGUGCCAUGGCUGGGCCUGGGUUCAGAAUUUUUUAAUGCGACUAUAUGCCCUGGUCCUGCAACCAGACGACGCAGGGGAGAGAGCGCCACAUGCGAAACGCCAUGUUCAGAAAGGCUGGGACUGCAUUUUCCUCUUCUGUAAGAACUCA